rnacentral:rRNA from 1 species
CACACUAUCAUUAACUGAAUCCAUAGGUUAAUGAGGCGAACCGGGGGAACUGAAACAUCUAAGUACCCCGAGGAAAAGAAAUCAACCGAGAUUCCCCCAGUAGCGGCGAGCGAACGGGGAGGAGCCCAGAGCCUGAAUCAGCAUGUGUGUUAGUGGAAGCGUCUGGAAAGGCGCGCGAUACAGGGUGACAGCCCCGUACACAAAAGCGCAUGUGCUGUGAGCUCGAUGAGUAGGGCGGGACACGUGGUAUCCUGUCUGAAUAUGGGGGGACCAUCCUCCAAGGCUAAAUACUCCUGACUGACCGAUAGUGAACCAGUACCGUGAGGGAAAGGCGAAAAGAACCCCGGCGAGGGGAGUGAAAAAGAACCUGAAACCGUGUACGUACAAGCAGUGGGAGCACCCUUUGGGUGUGACUGCGUACCUUUUGUAUAAUGGGUCAGCGACUUAUAUUCUGUAGCAAGGUUAACCGAAUAGGGGAGCCGGAGGGAAACCGAGUCUUAAUUGGGCGUUAAGUUGCAGGGUAUAGACCCGAAACCCGGUGAUCUAGCCAUGGGCAGGUUGAAGGUUGGGUAACACUAACUGGAGGACCGAACCGACUAAUGUUGAAAAAUUAGCGGAUGACCUGUGGCUGGGGGUGAAAGGCCAAUCAAACCGGGAGAUAGCUGGUUCUCCCCGAAAGCUAUUUAGGUAGCGCCUCGUGAAUUCAUCUCCGGGGGUAGAGCACUGUUUCGGCUAGGGGGCCAUCCCGGCUUACCAACCCGAUGCAAACUGCGAAUACCGGAGAAUGUUAUCACGGGAGACACACGGCGGGUGCUAACGUCCGUCGUGAAGAGGGAAACAACCCAGACCGCCAGCUAAGGUCCCAAAGUCAUGGUUAAGUGGGAAACGAUGUGGGAAGGCCCAGACAGCCAGGAUGUUGGCUUAGAAGCAGCCAUCAUUUAAAGAAAGCGUAAUAGCUCACUGGUCGAGUCGGCCUGCGCGGAAGAUGUAACGGGGCUAAACCAUGCACCGAAGCUGCGGCAGCGACGCUUAUGCGUUGUUGGGUAGGGGAGCGUUCUGUAAGCCUGCGAAGGUGGCCUGUGAGGGUUGCUGGAGGUAUCAGAAGUGCGAAUGCUGACAUAAGUAACGAUAAAGCGGGUGAAAAGCCCGCUCGCCGGAAGACCAAGGGUUCCUGUCCAACGUUAAUCGGGGCAGGGUGAGUCGACCCCUAAGGCGAGGCCGAAAGGCGUAGUCGAUGGGAAACGGGUUAAUAUUCCCGUACUUGGUGUUACUGCGAAGGGGGGACGGAGAAGGCUAUGUUGGCCGGGCGACGGUUGUCCCGGUUUAAGCGUGUAGGCUGGUUUUCCAGGCAAAUCCGGAAAAUCAAGGCUGAGGCGUGAUGACGAGGCACUACGGUGCUGAAGCAACAAAUGCCCUGCUUCCAGGAAAAGCCUCUAAGCAUCAGGUAACAUCAAAUCGUACCCCAAACCGACACAGGUGGUCAGGUAGAGAAUACCAAGGCGCUUGAGAGAACUCGGGUGAAGGAACUAGGCAAAAUGGUGCCGUAACUUCGGGAGAAGGCACGCUGACACGUAGGUGAAGUGAUUUACUCACGGAGCUGAAGUCAGUCGAAGAUACCAGCUGGCUGCAACUGUUUAUUAAAAACACAGCACUGUGCAAACACGAAAGUGGACGUAUACGGUGUGACGCCUGCCCGGUGCCGGAAGGUUAAUUGAUGGGGUCAGCGCAAGCGAAGCUCCUGAUCGAAGCCCCGGUAAACGGCGGCCGUAACUAUAACGGUCCUAAGGUAGCGAAAUUCCUUGUCGGGUAAGUUCCGACCUGCACGAAUGGCGUAAUGAUGGCCAGGCUGUCUCCACCCGAGACUCAGUGAAAUUGAACUCGCUGUGAAGAUGCAGUGUACCCGCGGCAAGACGGAAAGACCCCGUGAACCUUUACUAUAGCUUGACACUGAACAUUGAGCCUUGAUGUGUAGGAUAGGUGGGAGGCUUUGAAGCGUGGACGCCAGUCUGCGUGGAGCCGACCUUGAAAUACCACCCUUUAAUGUUUGAUGUUCUAACGUGGACCCGUUACCCGGGUUGCGGACAGUGUCUGGUGGGUAGUUUGACUGGGGCGGUCUCCUCCUAAAGAGUAACGGAGGAGCACGAAGGUUGGCUAAUCCUGGUCGGACAUCAGGAGGUUAGUGCAAUGGCAUAAGCCAGCUUGACUGCGAGCGUGACGGCGCGAGCAGGUGCGAAAGCAGGUCAUAGUGAUCCGGUGGUUCUGAAUGGAAGGGCCAUCGCUCAACGGAUAAAAGGUACUCCGGGGAUAACAGGCUGAUACCGCCCAAGAGUUCAUAUCGACGGCGGUGUUUGGCACCUCGAUGUCGGCUCAUCACAUCCUGGGGCUGAAGUAGGUCCCAAGGGUAUGGCUGUUCGCCAUUUAAAGUGGUACGCGAGCUGGGUUUAGAACGUCGUGAGACAGUUCGGUCCCUAUCUGCCGUGGGCGCUGGAGAACUGAGGGGGGCUGCUCCUAGUACGAGAGGACCGGAGUGGACGCAUCACUGGUGUUCGGGUUGUCAUGCCAAUGGCACUGCCCGGUAGCUAAAUGCGGAAGAGAUAAGUGCUGAAAGCAUCUAAGCACGAAACUUGCCCCGAG